AACGAACGCUGGCGGCAUGCCUAACACAUGCAAGUCGAACGAGACCUUCGGGUCUAGUGGCGCACGGGUGCGUAACGCGUGGGAACCUGCCCUUAGGUUCGGAAUAACUCCCCGAAAGGGGUGCUAAUACCGGAUAAUGUCUUCGGACCAAAGAUUUAUCGCCUUUGGAUGGGCCCGCGUUGGAUUAGCUAGUUGGUAGGGUAAAAGCCUACCAAGGCGACGAUCCAUAGCUGGUCUGAGAGGAUGAUCAGCCACACUGGGGCUGAGACACGGCCCAGACUCCUACGGGAGGCAGCAGUGGGGAAUAUUGGAAAAUGGGCGGAGGCCUGAUCCAGCAAUGCCGCGUGAGUGAUGAAGGCCUUAGGGUUGUAAAGCUAUUUUACCCGGGAUGAUAAUGACAGUACCGGGAGAAUAAGCUCCGGCUAACUCCGUG
rnacentral:rRNA from 1 species